CUGCUCUAAAACUUGUCAACUCUUAACAUGAGAGUAUGGGUAGGUUUUUAUGUCCUUGCUAACAUGACAGAUAAGAGCCUUUCCCAGUAGGAAGAAGACAGACUAUUAGAUAACUUUUGCCAUGAGACCAGGUGGGAAAUUGCAAAGUCCUCUAUAAUUAGAUGAUGCUCCAAGGGCAGAAGGUCAUGGUAAAGGGAAAAGAGGAAUAUCAGGAAAACAAACUUCCAGUACUUCUUCCUUUAGAGCUGUGUUAUCCAAUAUGGCAGCCACUGGGCGUAGGUGGCUACUGAGCAUUUGAAAUGUAGACAACCUGAAUUGAGAUGUCCUAUAAGGGUCAACUGUUACACUGAAAUUUGAAAGACAGAUUGAAAAAACUAUAUAAAAUAGCCUAUUAGUAACUUUUAUAUUGAUUACAUAGUGAAAUCAUAACAAGCUGGAUAUAUAAGGAGAAUUAAAAUAUAGUAUUAAGCUUAAUUUCAUCUGUUUCUCUUUGCUUUUGUAAAAUGCGACUAGUAGCAAAUUAAAAUUACAUUCAUCUUUUAUUGUAUUUCCAUUGGACAGCUCUGGUCUGGGGCAUAGCAUUUUUGCCUGGGUCCCAAGACCUCUAAAUAUGUCAUGCGUAGGGUUUUGGAAGACUGAGAGAUCUCUGAAAUUGUACGCACCAUGUACAUAACCUCUACAUUUGUGAAUUUUUCUGAAAGAAUAUCGUUAGAUUUUUAUCGGCGUUUGUGAUGGCAAGCAAGGGUAAUCGCCAUUGGUCUUAUAGUCUUUCACGGAAGGAUAUGAAACCUUAAAGUGGCAUUUUCGAAGGUAAAAUGCAAGACCUUUCGUCACUUCUGAAAUCAUUAGUCAGUACAUCUGAGAUUCUUUGUCAUGGAGUUAAAACCAUACCUAGGUAAAGGCAGUGGUUGGGCACUUGUUUACCAUUGUAUUCCUAGGAUCUGGCAUACAAUAUUGGCAGCCCAAAAAGAUUUUGUCAUUUCAUGUCUUUGAGGUCAUUGCCUGUGAAAAUGUAAAGGUCAUUAUUUUCUGCACAGAUACUCAAGUGUGUAGUUUUUGAAGCAAAAUUGACAGCUUGGAACUUACUUGGAAAAACGUAUUUGUGUCAGGUGAGUUCUGUACAAUCUAAGGAUUUGAAACAAUGAUAUGAAAGCAAGUGGUUUUAUUGUAAGGUAACCCAGGAGGCCCAUGUGGGAGUUUGGGGCACUGAGGCAGGGAUGGGAGGGAGGACAGUUCAAGGUCGGUUAAUGAGCAGGUUAUGGCUGUGGGCCCUCUGAGAGACGGUGGAGAUCAUGGCUCAGAGUUGUGGCAACCAUGUGGAAGUCAAGGAAGCCACCAACUCGUGUGAGUUACGGGUUGAAGGUCAUUUCUGGGACCAGAAACUUCCCAGCUAUUCUUCCUGCCUGGUGUGAGGGCUGAACAUCCAUCUGUAGCCAAGGAAAGCUUCAUAUUGGGCUUAGAGUGGUGGCCACGUGCAGUCAGAAGCUAUGCGCCAGUGUGGAAACGGUGGGUGUCAAGGGUCUGCAGAUGGGUGCUGACGACUUAAGCUGAGUGUUGCAUGCUGUAGCGUGGCUAGGAGAAGGCACUCUAUUUAACGGCGAACAUGACAGCCCUGUUUCUUAUAGGAUAGCCAUCCCAGUCCAGUGGACUUAGAAAACUGAGCAUGCAGAAAUUUUGUGAAGAUGGCAUUCUGCUUUCUGUGCAAAGAAAAUUAAUGCUACUUCUCUACCCCAGAGGAUGGCCUAGGAUGGACCUGGAACAAUUGCAUCAAAACCACUUUGCUGAGGGAAGAGGGUUAUUAAAAAUCCAUAUUCCGGGGCCCAGCUAUAGAACAAACAAAACUGAAUCUACAGUGCCCCUGCAAUUUGCAUUUUAAACAAGGAGAUGGCUCAACGGAAUUGUCUGGAUCACUAGAUUGUCUUGGCUGGAGAAGGGAUUGAUCAGAACCACCAACUGUAGUUAAACAGCAACAGCCUGAAGCUGGAAACCCUCCCUUUAAAAGCUCUGUAUCUCUGCAUACAGUUAGGACGAUGGCACUUAAAGACGGCAGUCUCAAUCUUCCUCAUUUGCUGGCAAGUUAAUAAACCUCCCUCUCCUUCUCCUCAAACCACUUGUCCUCAUUCUUCUGAUGCAGCCUUGGGGACAAGAGCCAAUGCUUCAGUAGCAGGUGUAGGGAGCUAAGGAAGGAGGUCUGGGCAUGCAGGAGUUGAAGGUCCUGGGGACCAAUGCCCGUGUGCGUUGGGGGUCACAGGUGGUGCAGAGAAGCACUGCUGCCAGGGACUAUGCGUGAAGGACAGGCGGGACAGCACACUGCUGCCUGCAGAACUGGGCACGGAUGCUGCCUCGUGUGCAUUCCCUCUUCCUUUCCUGCCCCUUCAUGUUGUGCUGCUCAACGUGUGCGUGAUCAGAGGGCCAGGGCCAAAGCACAAACUGUCAUCGCUGGCCCACAUCAAGAUGAGCGUAGAAAUCAAGACUAAGUGUUCAGGAAUUUUUAGAGCCAUUUGACCUUGCUGUGACAGGUAGUGACUCAUAUUUAUUGUGUUUUACAGAGGUAACGGUCUGCAGUGAAUCGGACAUUAAAAAAUUGUGGAAUAAGCCAGACACAGAAUGAAAAAAAUACUACACGAUCUCACACGUGGAAUCUAAAAAAGCAAAUAAAGGUCAAAUAUGCAGAGAUAGAGAAUACACCAGUGAUUGCCAGGAUGGUGGGAGGGUACAGUGAGGAUAUGGCGCGAUCUAAGGUCAAAGUUGCAGAUAUGUAGGGUGAACAAGUAGAAAGGGCUAAUGCAGGACAUGAGGACCACAGUUGACGAUGGUGUAUUGUAUUCAGAAUUUUUGCUAAAUGAGUAGAUUAUAGCUAUACUUUGCCGCAGGGCAUAAAUAUAGAUACCCAUGUGAGAUGAUCGGUAUGUUAAUGUUCCACUAUAUUAACUCUUUACCUGUGUAUAUGUAUCUUGUCAACAUCAUGUUGCAUACCUUAAAUAUAUACAGUAAAAUUUAUUUUAAAAUAACUAACAAUAUAUGCAUGUAAAAAAUUAUAACGUGAAAUCUAGAGAGUUCUUCUCUCUAGAUAGUUUGAGAAGCACUGCCCCAGAUGAUGCAUAGGGCUGAAUUCUCCCCACCUUCGGUGCAGCCUACGGGCCCAGGAGCUGGUGGGAGCUAUCCUCACCUGUAAUAGUUGCCUGCCUCAGCUUGUUAGAGGAGACUGGCAUGUCAGGAACAGUCAUGAUGGUGGGCAUAUCACGUGACCUCUCUGAGACUCUCUUUUGUCGUCCAUAACUUGCAAUAAUGGAACCAGACUCUCAGCAGUCUCUGGGUCUUAAUUUUCUGUCGUUAGGUGAAGGAAUGAGUAUCUUCUUUCCUGGAGGUAACUGCUCCUCUCUCAGGAAGGUCAGGCUUACAACCAAUAAAGCAAAUAUCCUGUUGGAGUCCGGGAAAUGUUUAAAGAAAUGUAAUAGCCACAUUCUUUUUGUUCUUUUUGCAUCACAGCCUGACUUCCUGGUGACAUAAAGCCAGAUUUCCCCUCUUGCAUUUCUUCCUAAUUGCAGCCUGCUCACCUGGCUACAGGAGAGAGAAGGCCAGGAUGGCAUAGCUAUAAUGGGUACUAAAUUCAGAAUAAAAUAGCACUGUGUCAGCCCUCAGCUUGGUGACCUACUAACUAGUGACACAACUUCUCUAAACCCCAGCUUUUAAAUCUUUUCAGUGUGCAUAAGGUUUCCUAUGUAAAGCAUCUCAGUGAGGGAAUAAAUGAGAUUAUUUCUGCAAAUCACUUAGCUCAGGAAGGUUUAUAGAACAUUCUUAAAUGUAUUGUAUUGUUAUUGUCAUGCUUUUCAUUCAUUCAGUAAGUGGUUGAGCAUGUACCAUGUGCUGGGACUCACACAGAUUCCCAAGGAAGUCACCAGGGUAGGUCAAGCAUGAUCCUUGUCGCUAGGGACUUCAGGAGCUAGUGACCUCAACAGUGGGUGCCUAGUGUGGGCAUGGAGAAGGUGCUCAAGAAAUCCAUGAGGAACUGAACCAUCAUCUUCCCAGUCUUGGUUUGACUUGAGACAAGGGUUUAAGUGCAAGUAGUUUAUUUAGGGAAUGAUCUCAAGUAACAAUCAUAGAGGACUGGAGAUGUGAGACUGAGCUGGGAAGGAAGCCAGUUAAAGAUGUUUAUCUAUAGCACACUUAUCACUAUGGGCAACUAGACUCUAACGCUGCCGGAGAAAUCUUGGGAGAUGGAGGGAGGGGUGAGAGAACUGGAUCAUUUAUCCAUCAACCACUGUCAGUUGAGAGGUUCUCACAGGUGAGUAUUAAUCUUCAAGCAUUUCUGCCGUGCACCGAUGGCCAGAGAAAAUCUCCAGGCAGAGACUCACAGGGGAUGGCAGGUGGAAGUCAGCCUGCUUGCAGGGACAUGGUAGAUGCCAGGAUGACAUGGGUGACACAUGCAUCUCUUCCCUGUUUCUCAGCUCCUGACACCUGGGCCAGUUUUCCCAGAGUCCCCAAAACCUGCCUUGCUCAGCCUCGUCUCUUGUCUCCACACUGAAAAAAUGUCUACAUGCAUUUGUGGCUGGACUCAUGUCUUCUCCAAGCACCUCAGCUCACACUGAUUCUUUCUCUCAGCUCCUUGUUCAUUUAUUUAUUAUUAUUUUUUUAAAAAAUAGCUCUCCCUUUGGCUCAGGCACACACAAAGUUAUUUCGAUGCUUUGUGUGGGUGUUUUCACCUUCCCACUUCAGUGUGAACUCCUGAGGACACAGCCAUGAUUUAUUCAUCUCCUGUUCUUGCCACGUUGCCCAGAACAAAAGAGGCUGCAAGAAAUGGAAUUGGGGGAUGAAUUUAACUUUUAGAUGAAGGACUGGUGAUUUAUGCUACUCAACUUCUGCUUUUUCGGCCCCAUUUUCUGCUCAUUGAUUCAUUCACCCACGGGGCCAACUGCCCAGCUAAGGAAACACCCAAAAUCACUGAGUGUAUGUUGUCUUUAGAACAUGCUAGUCAAGACAAAGGAGACUUAUUCCUGGACAAGAAAAUGCAGGACUUUUUGGGAGACCCCUUGGUGUCUAAGUUACCUUUCUCUCUCUCUCUCUCUCUCUCUCUCUCUGCCAUGCAAUUCCAGAGAUAUGCCAUCUAGUUUGAGGGCUAGAAAAAAAAAUUGCCUCAUUAUUCUGCAAAAUGAUUUGUUUAUGUCUAGACCUUGGUUUUCAUAAAUACAGAAACAUAUAUUGUUAUAACAUGAAGAAAACAUUCCCUUACCCGUGUGGGAGUGUUUUCCCCCGUCUCUGAAGCUCAGCCUAGAUGGCACUGGUCCACUUGAGUCCUCGGCUCUUCAUCCUCCCACACCUGCCUCUGUCUCCUCCACUUGGAGAAUCGUCAUUUGUCUGUGGGAGGUGGAAAGCCUUACUCUGACUCACCGUGGGUCUUCCCGAAUCCAUCCUGUCCGCCAGGACGCUUCCCUUUCCCUGCAGGACCCAAAGUCUUGGAAGGCAAAGCCAAGAGGAGAGAUUUCAUUGCUCGGCUUGCCCUCCAUUCCCUCGAAGCAAGGAGUGUGAAGCCAGUCCCACCUGGCUGGGUACGGGAAGGGAUCAUGGGUGCAAGAUAAAGCAAGAUCAAAAACUGCACGGAUUAACAUUUCAGAAAAGAAUGGCUCGCGUUUGUGUUUUACGUGUGCGUGCAUGUGUGGGCAUGGGUGGGCGUUCAUAAUCUUUGGUAACUUCUUUAUUGUCUUUGUCCAUGAUAACAGAUCAGCUGAUGGGUUCUCCUUAGGCUUGGCAGGGACUAAAAGGCAAAAGUGAUUCAACAAAGUCAUAAGCUGUUUAAUUUCAGUUUUGCGUUGAGUUAUUGUAAAGCCAGCUGCUUCGCCCCACACGCCUUAUUUGUCUGUACGAUUACACCAGCACUCAAAAGCGUUGACCCUAAAUGUUUUCUGAGUAUGAAAUCUAGAGUUCAGUCUUGUCUCAAAUUUCAUUAGGAGAAAGUCUAAUUACCCUGAAUUAGAAAACGCCUUCCAAAUAGUGUAUUGAAAAACAUGAGUGAAUUAUCUAGAGUUUUUCUGGAAGGAAAACAUGAUCUUUUUAUUGUCCUCUGACAUUUUUCUUGUUGCAAUAAAUAGAGAAUUACAGUGGUAUUGUUUGAAUAACUAUAAUUAAGAUUGCUUUGUUGUUUUGGUGACAGACUACUAGAUAUUUGAAUGGGAAAAAAACCAAAAAACCCUGCCUUGGUAAACCCUUAAGUCUAAGGGAUCACAGAGGGAUAAAUGCCAAGAUGACUUUAAAAAAUGUAAUGUAUGGUUUAUUGAACUUUCGUAGCAGUCAGUAUGUGAAAAAAUUCCAGUGUCAGAUAUUAAGCUAGUAUUUUUCUGCAUGUAAGUCAAGCAUUUGAAGUGGGUAUUUUUCAGUCCAUUAAUCUGUAAUAGUGUGUCAGAAAAUUUGAAAAUGACCAGCUGUUGCUUUAGUUGCACCUCAAUAAAUUGCCUUUAAGGAUGAACAAGAAAAACCCGCCUGCCAGUCUCCCAACCUCCCUGCCCACACCUACACCGCACAAUUUCUCGUACACAUGCUCUCUCUCUCACUCCAUCCCUCCCCUUCCAGGAUUGCUUCAGCACUGGCCCCAGGUGAGCAUUUCUGCUGAAAGGAUAGCCCGUCCUGGGUCUGCAUCAUCCAUUACAGGCUAUCACCUGUGAAUCUGUGCACUGAGAUUUUCCCCAUCCAGUCUUAAUGGCUGUUUCCAGAACUAUUGACAUUUACCAAGGCAGGGGCAAUCCAUCUUUUAAAGAAGUGCUAAGAUGGCCUUGUAAAUGGGGCCCAGAGGUGCUCGAAAGCACGGAUUUGCAUCACAGGAGCGGGAGAGGAGCAGGGAUUCGAUGUGGAGGAGCACAGAGCUUAGCUGGGAUUCUGUGUCAAAGAGGAUGCUUUAUGGGUGAGAAAUCUGGAGGUGAAUGCUACCAAACUCUUGUCUUGCAAUGGGGAGAUGGGCUAAAUGUGGGCAUUUAAAGUGUGUUUGGGGAAACUCUCAUCUAGAGAGCUCUAUAGUCUUUGCAAUUAAAGGAGAAUAAGGAUGUGUUUAUUUUUAUUUUAUGAUUUAUUUUGUUUAUUGUUGCUGUGUUUCUAUGAGAUGGCCAAGAUUUUGUCUUUUUCUUUUUAAAAAAAUUUU